GAUCCAACACUUCCAACUGUUCCAACUUCCAAGGCAACUUUCUUUGUUCACCUGCUUUCAUCAAGACAUCAACGUGGUCUGCUCCAAUCUACUCCACUUGGUUCAAAAGGAGCAAAAAAUAAUAAUGUUGGAUACUUCAGCAAUCAGCUGCAAUCAGCAUAGCUUCAUCAUUUGCAUCAAGGAUUAUUAAAAUAAAACUGGAUAUACCAUGAGGCAGACUAAAUCGUGAUGAUUCAUAUAUUACAUUCCACCACGUUGUCAUCAACUCUCCAAACUAGUUUUGGUGUCUCCAACUUACAUUCAUGGUUACCCAUAACACAAUGGCUAAAAUAAUACUGGAAAUAUAAUGGGGCAGAUGAAUCAAACGUGAUGAUUUAUAUAUCACAAAAAUUUUAAUGACGUUGGUUUAGUUUUGAUCAACUUGGUCAACAAUUUUAUGAUGCACGUGCUGAAUAAUAUGUGGCUUGAUAUUAUUCAUUUGAACAACUACAACGAAGCAUGGAUAAAAUGAAGAUGGUCAUUAUCAGAUACUGGAAUAAAAUUAAGUUCAGCUAGCAAAAGAUGGCCUUGAAAAAUAAAUGAUUAUCCACCACAUUGUCUUUGGUAUCUCCAUUUAUCAUCCCACAAAACAAAAUGAUAUUAUGAUGAAAAAAGCUCAUCAGCGACGACUAUAAUUGUUAAUUGUCUUUGCUAUUAUCAACCAAUUGUGUAUCAUCGAUGUCUAAGGGAUUUUUGCACAAGUAUUGUACUGACUGAUGACAGAUGAGAUGCAGUUGAUAUUUGUUUUUUUGUUCUUCGGUUUCAAGUCAAAUUUUUAAUCAGAGAAUCAAUUGAUAAGUGGAAGAAGAAUUUUUAUUUCCGUUUCUUGAUUUUCUGUUUGAGUGCACUCAAGAAGACUAAGAAGUAAUCGACCAGAGUACCACGACAAUUUUCAUGUACACCAUGAACAAAAAUGUCCAUGGAUAAUUGGGAAUGCAAUAGGGUAUGAAAAUUGUUACAUCAAUAACUGGCCAUUUAUAUUUUCGUCUUCUUGGGUGGGCUGGAGAACCACAUUUAUCUUUUAAA